GGUGCGGUGGCGGAGCGGUUGAACGCGCCGGACUUGAAAUCCGGUAUGGCCUUCGGGUCAUCGGGGGUUCGAAUCCCUCCCGCACCG
rnacentral:tRNA from 1 species